rnacentral:lncRNA from 1 species
CUCAGUCAUUUGAAGUAGUUCCUACGACUAAUCCUGUCCUCAAGCCAACUUCCUGUGUGCCCAAGGUUAUUCGUGCUCCUCCUACUAUGAUUUCUCUGAAAGAUGCUCAAGCCGUGGUUGAAGAUGGUGGUCGUAUUGGCUGGGGUCAACUGAUCAAUGUACCGUACAAGUCUGACAGAUUUGGCCUGGGAUUUAGCUCUGAGAAGGUAGUCAAGGAUCAGAUUAAUGCUAUAGAAGAUGCUGACAGCGAUUGCGACCUGGAUAGCUGGAUUUUCCCAACAAUUGGUGACGGACUCAAUAAUUGGGAGGUUGAAG